ACUCAAAUGAAUUGACGGGGACCCGCACAAGCAGUGGAGUAUGUGGUUUAAUUCGAAGCAACGCGAAGAACCUUACCAGGUCUUGACAUCUGGGUGAAAGCCAUAGAGAUAUGGCCCCUCUUCGGAGCACCCAAGACAGGUGGUGCAUGGUUGUCGUCAGCUCGUGUCGUGAGAUGUUGGGUUAAGUCCCGCAACGAGCGCAACCCUUGACUUUAGUUGCCAGCAUUGAGUUGGGCACUCUAGAGUGACUGCCGGUGACAAACCGGAGGAAGGUGGGGAUGACGUCAAAUCAUCAUGCCCCUUAUGACCUGGGCUACACACGUACUACAAUGGCCGGUACAACGGGAAGCGAAGCCGCGAGGUGGAGCGAAUCUUUAGAAGCCGGUCUCAGUUCGGAUUGCAGGCUGCAACUCGCCUGCAUGAAGUCGGAAUUGCUAGUAAUCGCGGAUCAGCAUGCCGCGGUGAAUACGUUCCCGGGUCUUGUACACACCGCCCGU
rnacentral:rRNA from 1 species